rnacentral:rRNA from 1 species
UCUGGUUGAUCCUGCCAGUAGUCAUAUGCUUGUCUCAAAGAUUAAGCCAUGCAUGUCUAAGUAUAAAUAGUACACAGUGAAACUGCGAAUGGCUCAUUAAAACAGUUAUAGUUUAUUUGAUAAUUGACAAUUACAUGGAUAACCGUGGUAAUUCUAGAGCUAAUACAUGCUUAAACGCCCGACUUUAUGGAAGGGUGGUAUUUAUUAGACUGAAGCCAAUAUUCCUUGUGUCUAUUGCGGUGAUUCAUAAUAACUGAUCGAAUCUCUUUUUGAGAUAAAUCAUUCGAGUUUCUGCCCUAUCAGCUUUCGAUGGUAGUGUAUUGGACUACCAUGGCAGUAACGGGUAACGAAGAAUUAGGGUUCGAUUUCGGAGAGGGAGCAUGAGAAACGGCUACCACAUCUAAGGAAGGCAGCAGGCGCGUAAAUUACCCAAUCCUGACUCAGGGAGGUAGUGACAAGAAAUAGCAAACCGGGAACCUCAUGGUUUCACGGUAUUGCAAUGAGAACAAUUUAAAUCCCUUAGCGAGAAUCAAGUGGAGGACAAGUCUGGUGCCAGCACCCGCGGUAAUUCCAGCUCCACUAGCGUAUAUUAAAGUUGUUGCAGUUAAAAAGCUCGUAGUUGAACCUCUGUCUGGGGCUAGUUUUGGCUUUGGUCAGGCUAGUUCUAGGCAUCCGCCUACAAGACUUAGAGGGCAUUCAGUUGUUCACUAGGAGGAGUAGGCAUUUUACUUUGAAAAAAUUAGAGUGUUUAAGGCAGGCAAUCGCCCGCAUAUAUUAGCAUGGAAUAAUAGAAUAGGACACUUUUCCAUUUCGUUGGUUAUUGGAAUCGUGUAAUGAUUAAUAGGGACAGUUGUGGGCAUUUGUAUUUAAUUGUCAGAGGUGAAAUUCUUGGAUUUAUUAAAGACAAACUAACGCGAAAGCAUUUGCCAAGGAUGUUUUCAUUAAUCAAGAACGAAAGUCAGGGGAUCAAAGACGAUCAGAUACCGUCCUAGUCUUAACUAUAAACUAUUCCGACUCAAUGUUUGACUGGCUUAUAUAACCAGUUGAGCGUUGUAUGAGAAAUCAGAGUCUUUAGGUUCUGGGGGGAGUAUGGUUGCAAAGCUGAAACUUAAAGGAAUUGACGGAAGAGCACAACCAGGAGUGGAUUCUGCGGCUUAAUUUGACUCAACACGGGGAAACUUACCAGGUUAAAACAAUAGUGGGAUUGACAGUUUGAGAGCGCUUUCUUGAUUGGUUGGGUGGUGGUGCAUGGCCGUUCUUAGUUGGUGGAGUGAUUUGUCUGCUUAAUUGCGUUAACGAACGAGACC